rnacentral:rRNA from 1 species
UAGCUAGUUGGUAGGGUAAAGGCCUACCAAGGCGACGAUCGGUAGCUGGUCUGAGAGGAUGGCCAGCCACACUGGAACUGAGACACGGUCCAGACUCCUACGGGAGGCAGCAGUGGGGAAUAUUGGACAAUGGGGGAACCCUGAUCCAGCAAUGCCGCGUGUGUGAAGAAGGCCUGAGGGUUGUAAAGCACUUUUAGUGGGGAGGAGUUAUUAUAGGUUAAGAGCUAAUAAUGAGGACGUUACCCACAGAAAAAGCACCGGCUAACUCCGUGCCAGCAGCCGCGGUAAUACGGAGGGUGCAAGCGUUAAUCGGAAUUACUGGGCGUAAAGCGUGCGUAGGUUGUUUAUUAAGUUAACUGUGAAAUACCUGGGCUCAACCUGGGCAGGUCAGUUAAUACUGAUAGACUCGAGUAUAGGAGAGGGUAGUGGAAUUUCCGGUGUAGCGGUGAAAUGCGUAGAGAUCGGAAGGAACACCAGUGGCGAAGGCGGCUACCUGGCCUAAUACUGACACUGAGGCACGAAAGCGUGGGGAGCAAACGGGAUUAGAUACCCUGGUAGUCCACGCUGUAAACGAUGUCAACUAGCUGUUGGGUGUAUGAAUGCACUUAGUGGCGC